rnacentral:tRNA from 2 species
GGGCCCAUAGCUCAGGUGGUUAGAGCGCUGUCCUGAUAAGACAGAGGUCGCUGGUUCAAGUCCAGCUGGGCCCA